rnacentral:rRNA from 1 species
UCCGGUGAACAUAUCCGAAAGGUCACACCCGACCCAUUCCGAACUCGGUAGUUAAGCUUUUGGAGCCGAUGAUAGUACUACAAGUGCGAAAGUAGGUAUCGCCGGAU